AAACAAACAACAACAAAUAAACAAAUAACUACAUAAUGACUGAUAAUGAUAAGUGAUAAUAAUAACUUUAAUGAUAUGAAGGCUGAUGAAGUUUUAGACAACCAAUACAAGAUUUAGAACUUGACAUCGUGAUAAACAAAUUGUACAUUCAGGAACUCGUUUAAAUAUUAUAGGUUGAUUAACGAAUACUCUACAGUUGAUUAGAGCCCAUGAUGAUGCGAAGAUAAUUAAUAUCACCUAACUUCAAGAAACCAG